GUUUUUACAGUUUCCUUUUAUGAAUGCUGAAAUUACACAGGGAGAUCUCAGGGUCCACCUACCUACUUUGCCUUCUUCCCAUUUUCUUGGUUAUACGUACGUGUAGAAUGGAUUUCUUGCCGAACAUGGAAACUCUGUUCAAUCUUUUGCUUCAUUUAUGGGUUUUUCGGAUUAUCAUUUUCUUUCUUUCUUUGGUUCAUGGGAGGCCAACAAGCCAUUAGUGGCAAAAUCGAGAGUGGCUCAAAUCCCAAAAGCAAAC
rnacentral:lncRNA from 1 species